UGGCCCAUACAGGGGGAUAACACUUAGAAAUAGGUGCUAAUACCGCAUAACAACAGAAAGCGCAUGCUUUUUGUUUGAAAACCAAGGUGGUAUGGGAUGGACCCGCGUCUGAUUAGCUGGUUGGCGGGGUAAAGGCCCACCAAGGCGACGAUCAGUAGCCGGCCUGAGAGGGUGGACGGCCACAUUGGGACUGAGACACGGCCCAAACUCCUACGGGAGGCAGCAGUGGGGAAUAUUGCGCAAUGGGGGAAACCCUGAUGCAGCGACGCCGCGUGAGUGAAGAAGUAAUUCGUUAUGUAAAGCUCUAUCAGCAGGGAAGAAAAUGACGGUACCUGAGUAAGAAGCCCCGGCUAACUACGUGCCAGCAGCCGCGGUAAUACGUAGGGGGCAAGCGUUAUCCGGAUUUACUGGGUGUAAAGGGAGCGUAGACGGCAGUGCAAGUCUGGAGUGAAAGGCGGGGGCUCAACCCCCGGACUGCUCUGGAAACUGUACGGCUGGAGUGCAGGAGAGGUAAGUGGAAUUCCUAGUGUAGCGGUGAAAUGCGUAGAUAUUAGGAGGAACACCAGUGGCGAAGGCGGCUUACUGGACUGUAACUGACGUUGAGGCUCGAAAGCGUGGGGAGCAAACAGGAUUAGAUACCCUGGUAGUCCACGCCGUAAACGAUGAUCACUAGGUGU
rnacentral:rRNA from 1 species